CAGCCGCCGCGGGAAUACGUAGGGUGCAAGCGUUAAUCGGAAUUACUGGGCGUAAAGCGUGCGCAGGCGGUGUUGUAAGACUGAUGUGAAAUCCCCGGGCUCAACCUGGGAACUGCAUUGGUGACUGUAUAGCUAGAGUACGGCAGAGGGGGAUGGAAUUCCGCGUGUAGCAGUGAAAUGCGUAGAUAUGCGGAGGAACACCGAUGGCGAAGGCAAUCCCCUGGGCCUGUACUGACGCUCAUGCACGAAAGCGUGGGGAGCAAACAGGAUUAGAUACCCCAGUAGUCCCUGUCUCUUAUAC
rnacentral:rRNA from 1 species